rnacentral:rRNA from 1 species
UACGUAGGGUGCAAGCGUUGUCCGGAAUUAUUGGGCGUAAAGAGCUCGUAGGCGGUCUGUCGCGUCGGAUGUGAAAAUCAGGGCUCAACCCCUGGACCUGCAUUCGAUACGGGCAGACUAGAGUUCGGCAGGGGAGACUGGAAUUCCUGGUGUAGCGGUGAAAUGCGCAGAUAUCAGGAGGAACACCGGUGGCGAAGGCGGGUCUCUGGGCCGAUACUGACGCUGAGGAGCGAAAGCGUGGGGAGCGAACAGGAUAGAA